AAUACAUGCAAGUCGAGCGGAACUUAGAAAGCUUGCUUUCUAAGUUUAGCGGCGGACGGGUGAGUAACACGUGGGCAACCUGCCUAUAAGACUGGGAUAACUUCGGGAAACCGGAGCUAAUACUGGAUAAUAUAAAAGAUCACAUGGUCUUUUAUUGAAAGAUGGCUUCGGCUAUCACUUAUAGAUGGGCCCGCGGCGCAUUAGCUAGUUGGUAGGGUAAUGGCCUGCCAAGGUUAUGAUGGGUAGCCGGCUUGAGAGGGUGUACGGCCACACUGGGACUGAGACACGGCCCAGACUCCAACGGGAGGCAGCAGUAGGGAAUCUUCCGCAAUGGACGAAAGUCUGACGGGGCAACGCCGCGUGAGCGAUGAAGGCCCUCGGGUCGUAAAGCUCUGUUGUUAGGGAAGAACAAGUAUCGUUCGAAUAGGGCGGUACCUUGACGGUACCUAACCAGAAAGCCACGGCUAACUACGUG
rnacentral:rRNA from 1 species